AUUCACUGAACUCAGAGAGGAGCACAUCACCCUUGUUGCAUAUCCCUAUAUUAUUAUAUGUGCAGAAGGCUGUUCUACAUCUACUAAAGAUCAGUGGUAGACACUUACCUGCAUUCCAUAGCGGUCAUUUUAGACCAUUGUUGAGAUACUUUUUUCCGUAAUGGAGCCACAUCACGCUGAGAUUUUUCAUACUAAUUAUUAGUCUGGGUCCGGCACUUCCAAUUCCAAUCCAAUACUGCGCCUGUGCUUUCACUGAAAACAGCAUACAACGAACAAGAGAGUCCACCAUUACCACCUUCCCUGGCAGGGAAUUCCACAUCCUGAUUGCCCUAACAGUGAAGAACCCUUUCUUCCAUUGCAUUCGGAACUUUCUCUCCUCCAGUCGCAGCGAGUGCCCACGUGUCCUAUACUGUUCUUUUAAUAAAUAA